AAGUGAGCGGAGUCGAAAAGAAACUAAACAGGAUUCCCUUAGUAAUGGCGAAUGAGCAGGGGAAAGCUCAGUGUGGAAAUUGGGGCCUGUGGCCUUGAAUUGUAGUCUAGAGAUGUGCUGCCAACGGAGGUGCAUGUGUAAGCCUCUUGGAAAAGAGUGUCAAUGAGGGUGAGAGUCCUGCUUGUCACUUGCAGUCCCCUGUGCACGGUGUACUUUCCCAGAGUCACGUUCCUUGGGAUUGGAGCGCAAAGUGGGUGGUAAAUAUCAUCUAAAGCUAAAUAUUGGUUUGAGACCGAUAGCAAACAAGUACCAUGAGGGAAAGGUGAAAAGGACUUUGAAAAGAAAGUUAAAAGUGCCUGAAAUUGCUGAAAGGAAAGCGAAUGGGAUCAGUGCUUCUUGGCAAGAUUGCUGCGCACGAAUGUGAUUGCCUGCUGCUGCAAUGCAAAUGUGGCAGUGGGUUCUGAUCUGGUUGUGCGCAGUGGUUCUUGCCUUGCCUGUCAAUGUCAAUGUGCAAUCGAGAAAAACAUGGAGGAAAUGACUACUUGCCCUUGGGCGAGUGAAUGUUCUUUCCUGAACUCAUUUUGUGCAUUGUUUGCGCGUGUCUUGUUUCAGUGCUCUGCGCCUUGUUGCAUCAAUGUCGAUGUAACGUUGUUGGAACACAUACUUGACAUAACGAUGAUGACAAAAUGGUUCUAUUCGACCCGUCUU
rnacentral:rRNA from 1 species